UGGCGAACGGGUGAGUAACACGUGGGCAACCUGCCCAAAAGAGGGGGAUAACACUUGGAAACAGGUGCUAAUACCGCAUAACCAUAGUUACCGCAUGGUAACUAUGUAAAAGGUGGCUAUGCUACCGCCUUUGGAUGGGCCCGCGGCGCAUUAGCUAGUUGGUGGGGUAAAGGCUUACCAAGGCAAUGAUGCGUAGCCGAACUGAGAGGUUGAUCGGCCACAUUGGGACUGAGACACGGCCCAAACUCCUACGGAAGGCAGCAG
rnacentral:rRNA from 1 species